rnacentral:lncRNA from 1 species
UGAGAAUGGGAUGCUAGGUUGGGUGAUAUUAAUUAGGCUAAAAGGGAAGAGUAAAUUGGGGCGUUUUAUAUGUGUUUAGGUCCACAAAGAAUGCUUAGAUUUUUAAUUAUUGGUUUUCAGACUUAAGAAACUUUAUGAAUUGAAAUGAGUUUGAAAUUUUAGUUAGAGAGGUGCCGAAACAUCAGGAACUCUGUAAAGUUUCCUUGGGAACUAUUCAAUUUCUUAAAAUAGUGUUUAUCUACAUAUGAAAAUACUUAAUUACGAACUUUAUCUAAAAAAAUAUAACAGCGUGACCUUGCUCGUCGUAUUUGAAACUUGGUUUAGUUUAUACCAGCUUUAAUUUUCUUAUCUUUAUUAUAAACUUGGGUGACCGCGUGCCCUAACAUUUAGCAAAAAGUUAAUGGAACGCUGCAGAGCUUUGU